rnacentral:rRNA from 1 species
GACGAACGCUGGCGGCGUGCCUAAUACAUGCAAGUAGGACGCAGUUGCGAACGGGGGAGAAACGCGUAGGUAACUGCCUGUGAGAGGGGGAUAACUAUUGGAAACAAUAGCUAAUACCGCAUUCUAGUAGACGGACGUGCGUUGUGUUAGCUAGUAGGUAGGGUAAUGGCCUACCCAGGAGACGAUACAUGGCCGACCCGGGGGGGUGAGCGGGCCAACUGGGGAUGGGACCAGGCCCAGGCUCCUACGGGAGGCAGCCGUAGGGAAUCUUCGGCAAUGGGGGGAAGCCUGACCGAGCAACGCAGCGUGAGUGAAGAAGGUUUUCGGAUCGUAAAGCUCUGUUGUUAAGGAAGCGGUACUUAACCAGAAAGGGACGGCUAACUACGUGCCAGCAGCCGCGGUAAUUC